rnacentral:sRNA from 1 species
GACUGAUCUAAUUUACAUCUUCUCAGAUAGUUAAAUCAUUAUUAAUAUAAAAAAAAUAAAUGUGAAUAAAGCUUACAGCGUACGCAGUUAAGUAAGCAGAACUGCUUAAACGAUGUGGUUGUGGGAGAAUUCAAAAAUUGUAUAUGAAUAGAAUAUUAUUCUUUGUUUUAUUUGACAAAAGAUAGCAAUGCGAAUGUCAACAGAUUGCGCAUAUAUCGAAAGUCGGCGAUCUUGGAGUUUGAAGGAAAAGUGAAAUAAGGUUUUAAAAAUAAUUUCUAUUAAAUUAUGUGAUUGACCUGUGUGCAUAUAUCAAGAAUGGGUGUUUGAUUUAUUUAGCAUGCAUAUCAAAAUCUUUUAAAUCCACAAAGCAUUGAAGAAUGAGAAUGAAAAUGUUAUAAAUCAAAAAACAUUUCUGGUUAUAAGUUGGUUUGCAGGGUUUUUUUUAUUGUUCACGUUUCUUUUAUACAUAUUUUACUAUCAUUUUUUGUUCAUACAUGUACAUGUAGUUUGUUUUGAUAGAUUAAGUAAUAUUUUUUGUACUUUGCUAUGCUGAUUAGUGUUCAGUAUUUACUUUUGUGAAUAAAUGUUUUCACCU